ACGAACGCUUGCGGCGUGCUUAACCCAUGCAAGGCGAACGGAAAGGCCCUGCUUUUGUUGGGUUCUCGAGUGGCGAACGGGUGAGUAACACGUGAGUAACCUGCCCUUUACUUUGGGAUAACUUCAGGAAACUGGGGCUAAUACCGGAUAGGAGCUCCUGCUUCAUGGUGGGGGUUUGAAAGUUUCGGCGGUUGGGGAUGGACUCGCGGCUUAUCAGCUUGUUGGUGGGGUAGUGGCUUACCAAGGCUUUGACGGGUAGCCGGCCUGAGAGGGUGACCGGCCACAUUGGGACUGAGAUACGGCCCAGACUCCUACGGGAGGCAGCAGUGGGGAAUAUUGCACAAUGGGCGGAAGCCUGAUGCAGCAACGCCGCGUGCGGGAUGACGGCCUUCGGGUUGUAAACCGCUUUCGCCUGUGACGAAGCGUGAGUGACGGUAAUGGGUAAAGAAGCACCGGCUAACUACGUG
rnacentral:rRNA from 1 species